CAAAACCACACACAUACCCUUAAUAAGCGUGAAUAAUUGUUCUCAUUAAUAAUCCGUUUAUAAAAUAUGUGUCUAGACUAAUGGCUAAAAUCCAUAACGUCUCACACAUAAAAUGCACAACUUUUGAACAUAUAACUGAUACGGAUACGAAUGAUGCGAGAAUGCACAACAAUGUGAAAAAAUAACAAAAUGGCUACACUCGUCACUCGUCAUGCAUCUGUUACAGAUGCAACUUGGAAGCAUCUGCCUGAGAACUACUCCAAAAAUCAACUGCUUUACUGUUCAUCUAGUUGGAAAGCGGCGAUUACGGAAUUCCCAUUAUACGGCUCCAUUUGGCAUGAACAUAAUAUUCGCUGACGAUGACACCAUCGCCACAGCAGUUAUCCACUGCGACGGGUAAUCUACAGGAGCCGACUUGGCAGCAAAAAAAUCAAUAACAGCAUCAAUUUAUCGCUGAUAUGCAUACAUCAGUGAUGGGAAAUAUUAUCAUCCGGAAAGUUUAACGGAGGCACCGGCGACGCUCCUGCAGUAACAAAGUGUUUACAAACAUGACAAACACAAAACCGAAUGUGUUUAGCCAGGAACGACAGGCACGUCAAACACGACCGCUCCAAUAUCAACAACAAUAUGUGCGCUUUUCCAAUGAAUAAAUACUCCGUCAAAGAGGUUGCUAAAAGUUCCCGAUAUUGAAGAAUAAAGAGGUGGCAUCUAGAUCUCUGCCGCGAGAGCCAAAGCAGCGAAUCUCAUAUAGCCUAAACAGCAGUACCGCAAGUCUACUAGAGAACGUCGAUUCAACCGGCUCCAACGGGAAGGAGCAAAUCAAAACCAUCACCAUAACUAUUUCGCUGAAGAUGGCUCAGCAGGUGCUGGCAACAAAGAAGCCGAUGAAUUGAUAACGCUGCUGCGGGAACUAUCUCAGGGGAAUGUCCAAUUAUAGAGCUACAUGUGUGAUGCCGAGAAACGGCGACACAAAGAACAUGACACGACGGUUAAGUUCUUCUUUCAUGCAAUAAAGGAAUCAUCUUCGGAAAACAGUAGACCUGCACCGCCGUAUUGUGUUGGCCUCGGUGUUGACUGUCAACCCGAAGAACUUGGACAUUAUUUUGGAGCGAUGCAGUACAAACACAAAGACUGCUGAGAAAAUUCUAUCACCCCACCGAAUCUAAACCUCUGACGAUAUCAUUUUUCCAAUGAAAAUAAUCGCCGUAAAGCCACGCUGCUAUGAGAAUGUGUUGCCGUGUUGCUGUUUCGAAAUUGGAUAACAGUCGUUGCUGCUAUCACGACACAUGUGUAAUAUUAGGCAUUUCGCGAGUUAUUUUCUUAAUUUUUCUUCUCAUGUACACUCAGGAAAAUCGACACAUACUUUAUGGCAAAAAUCCAUGUAUUUUGAAAUAUGCAUAUCAUGUGUCGGCACAUACCAAAUUGCAUACAAAUUCACACAUGGAUACAAUGACCCACAUAGAUAGUAUGUAUGAACGCUCAUGUAAUUCAUGCGGGCGCAUGAAAUAUAUGUGUCAAAAAUAUGGAAUGCAUUUGGCAACCCCCAUUGCAAAAAUCCAUGUGUAAACUCAUGAAUAUAAUGCGGAGUUUUUUGUGAGUGUAUGGUGUUUUAAAAGAAUAAUUUAAAAUUUACCCCAGUUGUGUGUUCAGGACAGUAAGCUUUGCAUGUGCACUAUUGUGAAUUUUAUUUGUCAGUGGUAACCUCAAGGUCAUACAUAGUUUUAUAUGUAGUACUAUAUGCUUAUCUACAAUUUUUAUGAUAAUAAAU